rnacentral:rRNA from 1 species
AACGAACGCUGGCGGCAGGCCUAACACAUGCAAGUCGAACGCCGUAGCAAUACGGAGUGGCAGACGGGUGAGUAACGCGUGGGAACCUACCUUACGGUCGGGAAUAGCUCAGGGAAACUUGGGGUAAUACCGGAUACGCCCUUACGGGGAAAGAUUUAUCGCCGUUAGAUGGGCCCGCGUAGGAUUAGCUAGUUGGUCAGGUAAUGGCCCACCAAGGCGACGAUCCUUAGCUGGUCUGAGAGGCUGAUCAGCCACACUGGGACUGAGACACGGCCCAGACUCCUACGGGAGGCAGCAGUGGGGAAUAUUGGACAAUGGGCGCAAGCCUGAUCCGGCCAUGCCGCGUGAGUGACGAAGGCCUUAGGGUUGUAAAGCUCUUUUGGCGGGGAAGAUAAUGACGGUACCCGCAGAAUUAGCUCCGGCUAACUUCGUGCCAGCCGCCGCAGUAACAC